GCCACGGUCGCAUAACUCGGUAUUGCGCUGGCCUUGAGAGCCAGUUCCUUUGGAAUUCCCGGUUCAAAUCCGGGCCGUGGCG
rnacentral:tRNA from 1 species